rnacentral:rRNA from 1 species
CCCUUAGAUGUUCUGGGCCGCACGCGCACUACACUGAUCAGUGCAACAAGCAUCCGUCCUUGGCCGACAGGCCCGGGCAAUCUUUGAACGCUGAUCGUGAUGGGGAUAGACUUUUGCAAUUUUUGGUCUUCAACGAGGAAUUCCUAGUAAACGCAAGUCAUCAACUUGCAUUGAUUACGUCCCUGCCCUUUGUACACACCGCCCGUCGCACCUACCGAUUGAAUGGUCCGGUGAAGCCUCCGGAUUGGCGUGCACCCUCGGGUGCUGCCGAGAAGUUGGCUAAACCUUACCAUUUAGAGGAAGGUGAAGUCGUAACA